CCCGCUGGGGUUGGGGUCCUGUACAUCACCACAACCCCAAACGCCAGCCCGGGGAGGGGCCCUGGAGUGGGCAGCACACCCUGCUCGCCUCUGCGCCCGUGGGUGACACAUCCCCGGCACGAUGUCUCCCAGAGCCCUCACCCCCAUCCCAAGGGCUGACCCUGCUCUGCUCAGGGACUCCAGAGAGGACAGGCCGGGCACGGCAGCGGCGAUCACAGCUCGGCGGGGCAGGAAGGGGCUUUGGGCCCGAGCCCCGCAUUGAUUGCACAGGCCACUUAGAGCCACAUCCAGCUGGGAGAUGUCACCUCGAGCCGUGCACCCGAGCCACCUCCAGCUGCCAAGCCAGUCUGCAGAGCCUGCGCGUCCAGAGGUACGCAGAGGUGUCUGCAGGGAAAGCAUCCACCGCACUGUGAGGGUGAGUGUGGGCAUCCUUCAGCCUCACCAUCACCUCUCCACGCCGGGAGGCUGCAGGGAGCAGCUCAGGGCUUGCAGCAUGGCCAGGGGUGCACGUGGAGGCGUCCCGUUAAGCGCCGUCCAUCACGGGACAUUCCUUCAGGCGACGCUCCUCUCUGCCAAAUCCUCCCCUGGGCCUGCUGAGGAAUGAGAGCAGCCCUGCAGGACAGAGUCAGCUUCCAGGCUUCCUUCCCCUCCAGAUAACCCCACUGCCCGCGGAGAGAAGAAAGGUCUGGAAGGGGAGGGCCACGUCCAGAUGUUCACGGAGUGCAUUAAGACCCUCAGCCAGAGGAGCACAUGCUUCAGGUUAAGCCCCUGAGCAGUCCCAGCUGCAGCAGAAUUAAUAAAGUCUUCACUUAAUCACUUA